UCCUACGGGACGCAGCAGUGGGGAAUAUUGCACAAUGGGGGGAACCCUGAUGCAGCGACGCCGCGUGAGCGAAGAAGUAUUUCGGUAUGUAAAGCUCUAUCAGCAGGGAAGAAAAUGACGGUACCUGACUAAGAAGCCCCGGCUAACUACGUGCCAGCAGCCGCGGUAAUACGUAGGGGGCAAGCGUUAUCCGGAUUUACUGGGUGUAAAGGGAGCGCAGGCGGCGCGGUAAGUCUGAUGUGAAAGGUACCGGCUCAACCGGUACAGGCUCUGGAAACUGGCGGGCUAGAGAGCAGGAGAGGGCG
rnacentral:rRNA from 1 species